AUUGAACGCUGGCGGCAGGCCUAACACAUGCAAGUCGAGCGGAUGAAGGGAGCUUGCUCCUGGAUUCAGCGGCGGACGGGUGAGUAAUGCCUAGGAAUCUGCCUGGUAGUGGGGAAUAACGUCCGGAAACGGGCGCUAAUACCGCAUACGUCCUGAGGGAGAAAGUGGGGGAUCUUCGGACCUCACGCUAUCAGAUGAGCCUAGGUCGGAUUAGCUAGUUGGUGGGGUAAAGGCCUACCAAGGCGACGAUCCGUAACUGGUCUGAGAGGAUGAUCAGUCACACUGGAACUGAGACACGGUCCAGACUCCUACGGGAGGCAGCAGUAGGGAAUAUUGGACAAUGGGCGAAAGCCUGAUCCAGCCAUGCCGCGUGUGUGAAGAAGGUCUUCGGAUUGUAAAGCACUUUAAGUUGGGAGGAAGGGCAGUAAGUUAAUACCUUGCUGUUUUGACGUUACCAACAGAAUAAGCACCGGCUAACUUCGUG
rnacentral:rRNA from 1 species